AGGUGUCCUAUACUUGUGGGCUAAGGUGGGGAGAUACAAGGGGAGGAUGUGAAGGAGGCUUUGAACUGGGGGAAAAGGCAGCAAUGAGGUGUGGCUGUAGCCCAGGAAUAGUCAGGGAAGCAGAUAAUUUAAAUUUAGUUAAAGUGUCUCGGCCUAAUAAGGGAACAGGGCAGGUGGGGAUAACUAAAAAGGAGUGCUUAAAAGAGUAUUGUCUAAGUUGGCACCAGAGUUGAGGAGUUUUAAGAGGUUUAGAAGCCUGGCCGUCAGUACCUGCAAUAGUUACGGAGGCAAGGGAAACAAGCCUUUGAAAAGAAGGUAAUGUGGAGUGGGUUGCCUCUGUAUUGAUUAAGAAGGGGACAGACUUACCCUCCACUGUGAGAGUUACCCAGAGCGUCUGUGAUGGUCCUGUAGGCUUUUGAGGCGAUCUGGCAGUGUCAGUCUUCAGCUGCUAAGCUGAGAAGAUCUGGGAAGGAGUCAGAGAGCCUUGGGCCAGAGUUCUAGGGGCCCUGAGAGUGGCUGCCAGGUGGAGAAACGCAGGCGCAGAAAAGAACCUGGAACUAGCAGCUGUUUUGGCAGCCAGAUGAGAUGCCCCCUGGGAGAGCCAUGCCUCUUGUGGAAAGGGCCUGCUCCUCCUCACCUUCAGGAAGUUCUACUAAAAUUCAGUAAUCUUACUAGGCAGUAAGAUUCAGGACAUAGGCAUGGGCAAGGACUUCAUGUCUAAAACACCAAAAGCAAUGGCAACAAAAGACAAAAUUGACAAAUGGGAUCUAAUUAAACUAAA
rnacentral:lncRNA from 1 species